GGUGUGNGGAUGGAUCCGCGUCUGAUUAGGCAGUUGGCGGGGUAACGGCCCACCAAACCGACGAUCAGUAGCCGGCCUGAGAGGGUGAACGGCCACAUUGGGACUGAGACACGGCCCAAACUCCUACGGGAGGCAGCAG
rnacentral:rRNA from 1 species